UUAGUUAAUUACGGUUCAAAUAUUCAGGGAAUCCCGUAAAAACGGGAGCUGCCCCGCAACUGUAACCGGCGACGAAAUCUGCAAUAUACCACUGGAAGGCCGUUUAAACGGCUUUCUGGGAAGGCGCAGAAAGUAGGACGACCCGGAAGCCAGGAGACCUGUUUGAACACGAUUUUAUGA
rnacentral:ncRNA from 2 species